rnacentral:rRNA from 1 species
ACGGAAGGCAGCAGUGGGGAAUUUUGCGCAAUGGGGGAAACCCUGACGCAGCAACGCCGCGUGCGGGACGGAGGCCUUCGGGUUGUAAACCGCUUUCAGCAGGGACGAUGACGACGGUACCUGCAGAAGAAGCUCCGGCUAACUACGUGCCAGCAGCCGCGGUAAUACGUAGGGAGCGAGCGUUAUCCGGAUUCAUUGGGCGUAAAGCGCGCGUAGGCGGCUGUCUAAGCGGAACCUCUAACCCGAGGGCUCAACCCCCGGCCGGGUUCCGAACUGGACGGCUCGAGUGCGGUAGGGGCAGGCGGAAUUCCCGGUGUAGCGGUGGAAUGCGCAGAUAUCGGGAAGAACACCGAUGGCGAAGGCAGCCUGCUGGGCCGUCACUGACGCUGAGGCGCGAAAGCUGGGGGAGCGAACAGGAUUAGAUACCCUGGUA